ensembl:ncRNA asRNA:CR44027 antisense RNA:CR44027
AAGUAAGCAUUGCCAAGCAAUUCAUUUGUGCUUUGUUUUUUUUUUUUUAUCAAACAACUCUAUUAUUUGGUUAGUUUUUAGUUUUUAGCACAGUCCACAAUCAUUUUAUAUCUGGUUUAAGCACAUUUGAUAAAAUAAAAAUGAUCCGCGAGGUCAGGACGAUCCGCAGUCGGUUGUUCUACUCCAUGGAAUAUUGCGUUUCUGAAUGCCGCAUCCAAAAUAAUUGAGAAUAAAAAUCAUCGCCUCGGCAUACGUUGCUUCCCAAGCUGGAGACUGGGAUGGAGACAGCCGGGUGCCGAAUUGGGGAAAUAGCUGGCAGCAGCGGUGUGCUUAUUAUAAGAUAAAAAUUGUGUGUUAAACAAAAAGUGACAGCAGCGGGAGCGACAACAACAGCGAAAGCGGCGGAUGUGGAUUCAGAUCCUUGCACUCGGACAGGGAACCUGUGCCAGCGCCGGCGCUGUUGGUAACUGCAGUUGCAGUGGCAGUUGUUUCAGCAUUUGCAGUUGCAGCUCUACACUCAAAAAAAAAUUGAAUAAAAAAAUUUCAAUAAAGCACCAAU